rnacentral:rRNA from 1 species
GACGGAGGAUCCAAGCGUUAUCCGGAAUUACUGGGCGUAAAGAGUUGCGUAGGUGGCACUGUAAGUCGUUAGUGAAAGAGUCCGGCUCAACCGGAUACACAUUGACGAAACUGCAGAGCUAGAGGACGAGAGAGGUAACUGGAAUUCCUAGUGUAGGAGUGAAAUCCGUAGAUAUUAGGAGGAACACCGAUGGCGUAGGCAGGUUACUGGCUCGUUCCUGACACUAAGGCACGAAAGCGUGGGGAGCGAACGGG